ACCACGUAUCCCAGGGCCUGCGAGGGUCCUGGUGAUGUCAUCAUAACGCGCGAGAAUUGAGAGGAAUAGGUUUAGAGUCUAAUAGUCUUCUGCCAGCAGGUCUGCUUCAAGCCCUAGAAACUGCAAAUCCCAGAUUGCUCCUCGAAUAAGCGGGCUGGGCUUUGUGGGGUUUACUCCACCUCUUGACGAGCUGUUGAGCAGUAUGGAAAUACGUAGUAAGUUUACAGGGCUGCUCAACCGGUCAGCCCAGCAGAACGUAGGACUACACUUCCCAGAAUGCAUCAGGGAGAAUGGGUCGGAACAAUGGGAGAGGUGGAGGUGGAAGGAGGAGGAGGAAGAGUGAGGCGCUAGCAGAGAGGUCCCGGAAAGCAGCGCAUCGCGCCUCGGAUGAUGCCAGCACCUGAUGCUCCUGGGAACAUUGUCUGCCAUAUGUUAGAAAACUAAGGCACAGAGCUGUUAAUAAAACAGUACUGGUGGUAGAAGACAGCACCAGCAUUUGAAGCUAGCAUCUCUGGAUUCCAGAACUCCAGCUGUGUAAAAAGACCAGCACAUCACUCCUCUGAAGUUGCAAAGCAAAGAUCCAAUUGCAAAUAUCAGUACUCAGCUAACUGAAAAUAGAAGACCUAAACACAGUAACAACAGUUCCAGUGGAUCAUAUAUCAGGUGAGUUCUAUCUUAUAGACUCCUAGUAUGCUGGUUUAAAAAAAAAAUAGUUCAGCCAAGCAUGGUGGCACACA